rnacentral:lncRNA from 1 species
AGGGAUGCAAACUUAAGGAAGUCAAGAAACCUCGGAAAAUCGGAGGAUUAGAGUUGAAUGUGUGCUUAAAUUUUAAAUUGGCUUCUUAUGUUCCAGAUUAGGAUGUUCAUGUGGGAACUGCAUGCUAAGAGAGCAGAAAUCACAGCGUUUGGCCUUUUCACAAUUGACAGUGAUCUUGUGACGUCGAUUAUGCUAGCAACAGCAUCUUAUUUAGUCAUGAUGUUCCAGCUAAUGCCUCAGCUCACUGAAGAUUCUCAAAAUUAAGGAGGUACUUAACAAGUCCAUGUUUUUUGGUUGAACUAUAACACAAGGAUUUUCCCGUAGGGGCAACAAACAAACUAUGAAGUAUGAAUAGUGCUAUCUAUUUGAGAAACACAUGUAUCCUGCUCCAAGAACUUUUUGAUAGAACCAAUCAACAAUAUAUGUGUGAAUCCAUUCGCAGAUAUCGUCCAUUGAAAUUCUUCUUCAAUUUGCCACAAAGGCAAACAAACCUACAGGAAAGUGCAAAUAGUUAUCCUUAAAAUGUCUGAUAAAGUGCUCUAUCCAAUGAGAAUGUGCCUACCUCUGGACUUCGAUAUAACCUAUGAAUGUACUUUUUUGACCAGUUUGGUUAAAUUCUUGUGUAAAAGCUACGUUUAAUAAAUCUAUAAUUUUUUGCAAUUGAAAAAAAAACUUCUGGAGUCAGGACUUCGUUAGAACUUUCCACGUCUCCCACUUGAAAUUCUGCAGAGUCCUCUGUUUUCUUCAUUGUUUCCCCAGUCUAAAUUGAUAAAAGUGGCACAUGUUGAAUGCGUAAAGAAUUGAGGCGACAAAAUACGAUUAAAGUUGGUUUUAUUCUACUCUGAGACCAACAAUUUAAAUUUUCUAGUGAUCAAGUGACUUUUGCCAGGUUUUAUUUUUUUACAGGACAAAACCAUAUAUUAUUUUAAAGAAAUAGUUUUCAUGUUCAAUCCAUGUUAAUAUUGGUACCAAAUUAUGCUGCUUAUUUUUCCAAAUUUGUAUGAUUUUUCAAUACCUACAUGGAAUCUAUGAAUUUUAGCCACAUGCACCUUAAUUGAGAGAGAGUUUUAGGACCUCAUUAACUUCAACCAAAUCACAUUCAUGAAGAAGUCUAAGUGCGAGACUUACUUGAGUUUAAUAAAGCAGAAUAUAAAUUUUGUGUUAUCUUUCUUUGUUUCUUUCAUAUACUGUAGUAACUGGAACAUUUGUCAAAUAAUCGAUCAGGGUUUCAAAAGUAAAACUACAAUUAUGUGAAAAAAAUGAUUUUUUUAAUAAUUUACAAAUACAACAACUGAUUGAAAAAUUGAGAAAAAUAAAAUUAAUGGAUAAAAGAAAAUAAUUAUCAACGGUAAAGACACAAAUUUUGAUCCAUAUCAUGAGCAUUCAAUCAAUGCAAUUACAAUUAUUAAAUAAAUACUUGCAAACUUAGUGCGAAUUCAUUAGUAAGGCACCAAAAAUAGGACUAUUCUUAAAAUACUUAACAAACUUUAGAGGGUUUGUUGAUGUCUUAUUCUACUCCUCCCAAAGCUGAACAUUCUGGCUUCUUCUUCUUGGUGAAAUUCACAGACAGAGUUACAAUUCAUAUCAAGUUAUAUUCUGCAGUGUUCAGCUUCAAGUUUCUACCUCCCACCAGAACACUACAUACAAACCUCCCCAGUUGUAAGUGUGUUAAGUAGUUCAUAAAUAGCCCAGUGUGGGCAUGCAGUACAAUAAUCAAUCCAGUAAACAAAACAUCUUAAAUGAAGAUACCAAAGUUUUAAAGGAACUUCCAUAGAGUGUACCUACUUGAUUUUGUUACAUACUUCCUGUUUCUUGAAAUAUUUUAAAUGCAUCACAAAACACAGAAAUAAUCAUAAAAGAUUGCGGAGAGCUUUUCUUAUGACUAAGAUAUUGUCUUUGUUUCUUUUUUUAAGAGCUUCUAUUCAUUGAAUUAUGUGUCUAGAGGAAGAAUUUAAAUUGAAUAAAAAAUGGAGAGGAAAUUCAUGAAAAAAGAUGUAAAGGUUUCAAGGAGGACUGUUCAUACUCACAAUCAAUCUAGGAUUAAUUAAAAGUGAGUCAAAUUUGAUAUAAAAAUAGAUUAUUCGUUUUCCUAAUAAAUUCCAUCUUAAUAAAAUUCACCCAUGAACAAAGAGCAUUACAAAUUUUAUGAUCACAAAAAUACUAUCUCUGAAUUAAAAGAAAGAAUGGAUCACAUUAAAUGCUGCUACAAGAGCUGACAGUCAUGGAUACAUUCUACAGAGGACAUAACAAACCAAAAUUUGAUCCAUUAAAUUGAUCCGUAAGUUUCCCUCGAAAAAGUUAAUGCAACUUAAUGUAAUCAGUUUGUUCACAUUUGUGGCAGUAAAUUUUAAAUACUUGUAAAAAUUAAGGGAAAAAAAACAAUGAAGAGAGGACAAAAAAACGGACUAUUAGGAAACAAGAGUAUUUUCUGAUCUGAGAAAAAAAUGAGAGUAUAUGACAUGGUAAGACGUAGCUGGAUAUUUUUCAUUCAGGAGGGGAAGGAGGGGGGGGGGGGGUGAAUUGAAUGAAAAAAUUGAAUAGGCUCCCGGAGGCACAUCUUUGAUGUGUGGGUGUAUUUCAAUUUGAUCUUCUCAAAACAUAUUUCCCGUUUACGUUUUUAAACACAUUCAACACAAAAUGUUGAAUACAUUUUCUCUUCAUAAUUUCAAAGUCCUAAUGUAUUGUUGAUUGUACAAUAUCUUUUUUUAAA